UUGGCCCUAAAUCAAGGCCAGCAGUUUGCUGAAGCUGUUGGUUUCAAGCAGGAGCCUAAAGAAAAGUCUUCUUAUGGUCUGUUGGUCAUUUCAGAGCUAUGGAAAUGUAAUGACCAAUUCAUUAGGAAGAAACAUCU
ensembl:snoRNA small nucleolar RNA, H/ACA box 2B